GACGAGCAUCACAAACGUUAUUCGGAAUUACUGGGCUUAAAGGGUGCGUAGGCGGUGUAGCAAGCCGGGAGUGAAAUCCCACAGCUCAACUGUGGAAUUGCUUUCGAUACUGCUGUGCUUGAGUGAGAUAGAGGUAAGCGGAACUUAGGGUGGAGCGGUGAAAUGCGUUGAUAUCCUAAGGAACACCGGUGGCGAAGGCGGCUUACUGGGUCUCUACUGACGCUGAUGCACGAAAGCCAGGGUAGCGAACGGG
rnacentral:rRNA from 1 species